rnacentral:rRNA from 1 species
UACGAAGGGGGGCUAGCGUUGCUCGGAAUUACUGGGCGUAAAGGGCGCGUAGGCGGCGAUGUUAGUCAGGCGUGAAAGCCCUGGGCUCAACCUGGGGGACUGCGCUUGAUACGGCAUGGCUAGAGGAUGGAAGAGGGUCGCGGAAUUCCCAGUGUAGAGGUGAAAUUCGUAGAUAUUGGGGAAGAACACCGGGUGGCGAAGGCGGCGACCUGGUCCAUUACUGACGGCUGAGGCGCGACAGCGGUGGGGAGCAAACAGG